AUGGGUGUCCCCCAAAGCAACCUGACAAGGAGGCAUUUUGGGGCCUGGUUUUGGCAGAGGGAGCCACGCACCCUAUGUACUUUGACACCAGGUGAGGAAGCAGCAGCAGAAGCAGCAGUGCUACCCCCAGGUGUCCUGCAGCUCUCAGGGCUUCCAGCUCACAGUUGCAGGCGAUAUUGGCAGGAGAACAAAUGGGUAUAAAAUGACCACAAAUGCAUUUAACCUGGAAAUGAAUAGGAAGCUUCUAAUAAUCGCAGCCGUAAUGUUCCCACAACAUUCCCGCAGGACCAGUGCCAAAUACAUUUGAGGUAAUUAGUUUAUUAAAAUGAUCGGAAAAUAAGGUUGCUAUGAUACUGGGGGCAGGAGCUUCACGAUGUGGGAACCUCUGCAACGUCUCUGCAAAGUGGGAUACACAGGCUUUCUAGGCUCUGUGUUUUACAGGGCAGUCAAAAUUGUCCCCCCUUUGUUUCAGAAUGGCAAAAAUGGUUUGGCAUUCCUUGGUUUCUUUUUCUUUUUUUUUUGGUGAAAUUAAUUUUUUUCUGUCAUUUCUCCUUGGAUAGAAAUUUUGAAAACUUACGUGCUUUAUGAAUCAAACAAAAAACAAAUUUAACAGAAGUGACAGCAGUUCUAUGGAACAGAAAUUCUAACAUUUAAUUCAUUUUAGCUGUAACCACAAAUUAAGAAAGAUUGUGGUAUUGCAGUUCUUUCUCUGCGUUGAGUGUAACUUGCUGACAAAGCAGUACUUUGACUUGUUCCUAUGUAUCUAAUUGAUACUUCUCUGCUCUAGUGAUUAAAACAUACUGCUAUAUAUUAAAAAUGUAUAAAUUAGGGUCGGUUUCUUUUUUUUGCUCACAGAACUUGUGAAUCUUCUAUGGUGCCUCAGCAAGCCUGGAGAAGAACUUGCUUGAAAUGGAUGCAGUGAAAAGGACUUUUUGAAGGAUGUCAUUUGCAAGGGUUUAUCGAAGUUUUCUUUGAUUUUACUGCCUGAAAGUACAUCUCAUUCAGAUGAGAAUGAAAUUAAACCUGAAAAAAAAAUGGAAUUUUGUGUUGAACUGAUUCUGGGAAACUAUGAAUUUUAUUGCUAAUAAAAAAUAAAGAUAUAAAUAGCA
rnacentral:lncRNA from 1 species